rnacentral:misc_RNA from 1 species
GAACCCACCUUCUCUUCUUACAUUAAAUCUAUAAAACUAUUUCACGGAAUCAAUAACUCUCUUUCUCGCUCACUUAUCCCACUCUUAAAACAAGCCGCAGAACAACCUGAAUCAUCUCUACAUUAUCUAGACAUUUGAUUCCAUUGCUUCCCCUUCGCCACUAGGGAGUUCCCCGUUACCCUCAUUAGAAGAUGCCGGUGCAGCAGAAUCCAGAUUAGUCAAAUGCACAUCUGAGUUAUUUUCAGUUUCGGUCACAGACUGUUGAGUUUCAGCAUCUUUGACUUCCUCGACGAUAUCAGUCCUACAUUUAACAUUUUCAAUAGCUGUACCAUCAACCGAAUCGUUG